rnacentral:piRNA from 1 species
UGUCAGACACAAGGCCAGGACA